CAGAAAUCUUCACCAUGGCUGAUUUUAGGACUGUCAGCAAAAGAGUCUUUGCAAGAAUCCAAUGUAGAUAAACUUCCUAUUUUUAUGUCACCCUGUUUACUUGGCCACUGGCCGAGAAGAUACCAGCACUCCAGACUCCAGGUGCUGGACACCCCUUACAGGUUUAUCACAAACAUGUAUCCAAUAUAGUACUUUGUAGAACUGUGCAACCAAGGCCUCUGGCCUUGAGCUGGGCUUCACAGAGAUGUCUACAUUUUUAAGGUAAGUUAAUAACUGGGCUCCAUGGUGACAGCUGGCAGGGGAGGAAAGAGAGGGGAGAAGAAGCUCUCCCCUUCUCAGGUGUUGUCCUUGAAGAGUUAACUUGCCCAGAACAGAGAGAGAAAAAGCUGCUUUUAUGUGAACUUCUGCAGACUGUGAACUUCUGAGCCCCUCCCCUUACACGCUGGAUAUAAAACUCCGAAACUCCCUGAACUCGGGGUUCAGGGGAUUGACUGAUUACAGCAAAAGCUGUGCCCCCUGAACCUGGCUGCAGCCAAAUAAAACUGUUUCCUGCUGUCUUGGGUGCCCUGCCUCGGCUGUCCCUACAACAUGACUGCAGGUGAAGGAUGCUAAUCGGGUGGUGUUUUUGCUGGACCUUAACCCCAAGUUCCUAGACCCACCUUCCCCACUUCUCCCCGCUACCCGCCGUCCCCCUCCUCUAUCUCAGUGACCGCCUAGCCACGGAGACUUCCGCUCUGCACUUUGAAGUGUUGUCCUCCUGCUUCUCCCUCCUCCCGCCAUCCCUGGGAUGCCCCUUCCUGCCGCCUCCGGUCCUGGUCUCUGGCAGCUGCUGUUGACUGGUGGCUCCUAGUGCUGCUGUGCUCUCCUGAUGUCCCUCCAUUGUCUGCCCUGCCACACUAACUCCUUCAGUGCCCACAUUCCCUGUCAUUUCUCCCUAAUAUCAGCCUCAUGUGGAAGCCAGCAUUCAUCAUUGAUGGGGUGUGAUGUCCACUCGCCGGGGACUUUCUUGUGAUAAGUGUCAGUUUUGGCCAUUCCAUCUCCAGCGCCCCCCGCCCUCACCGUUCACCCCGAGUGGGUCUUUGCUAAACGCUGGCUGGAAAGGAUUCUUCCUUCCAAACACCACCUGGAGCGACACUUCCCUUGCUUAAGGGGAACAAGCACCACUGGGCUCCCAGAGCCAUGAGCAUCUGUGAUUUUGAGACCUGGGGACGUGGCCCUCAGAACCUCUCCUUCCUUUGGGCUGUGAUGUGAAUUCUUGGACUUGAGCAACCCCACCCAUG
rnacentral:lncRNA from 1 species